AAAUGGAGGCCCAAAGGUAUUAACUAACUUGCUGGGUCAUAUAAUUAUUUAGUGGGAACCUAGAUCUCUACUCCAGGCCUUCUAGCUGUUAAAGUCACUCUAUUCCCAGGACUUAAGACUUGCUUUAAAGAACAGACCAUUAUAUGUUGAGAUUAUAAUAUUAUGGCACUGGGUGUAAUAAAUCAAAUUACUGGAAGAUACUGAAACGUUUCUAGGCAAAUCUUUUCCCCAAUGUUUGAUGUUGAGCAUUUACAUUUUCUUUUCCAUGAGGAGAAUUAAAUUUGGUAAGUCCCAUUAUCUAGCCAUGCUUUUAAAAUGAGAUGCCUUUUGCCAAAGUGAAGUCAUUGAAUUUUUUUCUAAAGAGAACUGCAGAGCAAAUGUUGCCAUUCCUUAGGGUGGCUGCUCUCAGUCCUAUGAUCUUGCUAGAGUCAUACCUGGUGGUCUCUAGAGAUUCUCAUGGGUGAAAGGAUGGUAAAACCUGCUUUUUCAAUUGAAUAAUUCUCUGCCAACCUAUACUGAAAACAAUUAAACCCUGCUUAGAUAUCAAAUUAUACAUCUUUCAAGUGUUUCUUUUCCAUUUGAAACCUUAGGGAAGGAAAAGUGGGUAGCUAAAGACUUAUGAUUUCUUUGCUUGAAAUUGUAGAUCUAAUCAUGUGUAAAUAGAAGGAAACUUUCAGAGUGAAUAAAACUAUUGUAUAUGAUUUUUAAAUUCCUAGGUUUUAAUUUUUUUAGCAUGAGAAAUGUCAAAAAUACUUAAUGAAGCAAGAAUAGGAUGGAAAUAGAAAUGCUAAAAUAGUGAAGAUUUUACCACUUUUGCUUUACUCAGUUGUUGUUUGCUUAUUUCUUUGUUAAAGUAUUUUAAAGAUCAUGGCUUUUGUUCACUUAACAACCUAUCUGGGUAACCAGUACAUAUCAGUUUAUAUAGAUGUUAUUCAUCGUUUUUCUGGCUGCACAGUACUCUUUCAUAGAGAUGUACCAUAAUUUAUUGUCUUCUAUGGUUGGGCAUUUUGCUUGUUUCUAAUGUUUUGCUAUUGGUGAUGAAAUUCAUGCACUUGGAGUACUGUAUUUUAAGAGGUGCAUAUGUCUUCUAGAUAAAUUCCUAGAAGGAUUCCUAGAAAGAUUCUAUAAGUUAUAUUGCUUGUUCAAAUGCAAAUGUCAUUUUGGGUAUUGCCAAAUUCCCCUCCAAUGUAUUUUCUGUUUGCCUUGCCAACAUAGUGAGUUGUCAAUUAUUUAAAUUUCUACCACUGUCAGGCAAGGAAUGACAUCACAAUAUCAUUUUCAUUCACAUUUCUUUUAUGAAUAAAGCAUUGGAUAUUCCAUAUGUUUAAGGAGAUAUUAUCUCCUACAUUAUCAUUUGUAUUUUAUUUCAUUUAUUAUUUUUUCUUUCUUUUCUUUUUUUUUUUAAACUUAUUUUGUAUUGGAGCACAGUUGAUUAACAAUGUUGUGUUAGUUUCAAGUGUACAGCAAAGUGAUUCAGUUAUACAUAUACAUGUAUCUAUUCCUUUUCAAAUUCUUUCA